CUGCAGCCAACUAAACUGACUGUCCCCUCUCCCCGUGGGGGUCUGGUGUGCAGGUGGCUGUUGACAGCAGCUUCCUGGUAGUGUGCCAGCCUGUCGCUUGUAUGGGUUGCCCUAAGGGAUCCUGGAGACAGUC